rnacentral:rRNA from 1 species
AAUAUUGGUCAAUGGAGGCAACUCUGAACCAGCCAAGUCGCGUGAAGGAUGAAUGCCCUACGGGUUGUAAACUUCUUUUUUAAGGGAAUAAAGUUAGCCAAGUGUGGCUUUUUGCUUUUACCUUACUAAUAAGGAUCGGCUAACUCCGUGCCAGCAGCCGCGGUAAUACUGAUGAUCCGAGCGUUAUCCGGAUUUAUUGGGUUUAAAGGUUGCGAAGGCGAAAUAUUAAGUCGGCGGUGAAAGUUUGCAACUUAACUGUAAAAUUGCCGUUGAUACUGGUAUUCUUGAGUGUAUAUGAAGUAGGCGGAAUUCGUAGUGUAGCGGUGAAAUGCAUAGAUAUUACAAGGAACUCAGAUUGCGAAGGCAGCUUACUAAAAUACAACUGACGCUUAGGCACGAAGGCGUGGGGAUCAAACA